CCCUUAGAUGUUCUGGGCCGCACGCGCGCUACACUGAUUCAUGCAACAAGUUUUGUCCUUGGCUGAUAGGCCUGGGUAAUCUUUGAACGUGAAUCGUGAUGGGGAUAGAUGAUUGCAAUUAUUCAUCUUCAACGAGGAAUUCCUAGUAAACGCAAGUCAUCAGCUUGCAUUGAUUACGUCCCUGCCCUUUGUACACACCGCCCGUCGCACCUACCGAUUGAAUGGUCCGGUGAAUAAUUCGGACUGCAGCACUGCUUGGUCUCCAGGCUUUGCAGCGGAAAGUUUAGUGAACCUUAUCACUUAGAGGAAGGAGAAGUCGUAACA
rnacentral:rRNA from 1 species